GCCCAGAAGCUCCUGCUCAGUAACUACAGACGCGAAGCUCAGCCUCUCGGUUUGGGAAUUUUCUUGGAGGCCGAGGCCCUGCGCCUCUGUCUGCACCCAAGGCGACCGCCCAGCUUACCCCCGGCUCUUCUGAGCACAGGGAGGCCUCCCAGCAAAGCCUGAACCCUCUAAGUUUAGCUGCAGGCUUCGAACCCCGACCGUCCCCGCCGAGCCUUGGGCUGCUGAGGUGGGGAUGAACUGGGCGAAAGACACUUGGGAGUUAGGAAGAAACAAACAAGCAGGGAAGUGACCAGGAGACAAGGUGAGACUUUGCCCGGCUCAGGUCUGAACUGAGUGUUGGAGAUAACCACAGUUAACAAAAUAAACAAAAUUAUUCGCCCCCGUGGAGCUGUUAGCAACCCUGGUGCCUGGGAAGCCUGGAAGAGGCUCGGGUUAGUAACAACCUCCAGGAUGCCCUCCGAACUGGUACUGGCGCCGGGACUCUAGACAAGGUCCAGAUUCCCGGGCCCUUCCCCUUACGGGUGCAAAAAGGGAGGGUCAGGACCUGCCAGUCCUGGCUUCAGGAUGUUGACUGGACGGACCUGGACUCAUGGGAACUGUGCGCCAAAGUCCUGGGAGCAAAGUGUCAUAACGCUCCUCGUUUGUCUCUUGCCUUCACAGGAGACAGCCCUGCUGCAAGCGGCCAGUGGGAAUCCUUGGCCUUUGGGGGUAUGAUCCAAGAAUGUAAACGCUAGCUUUUCAGUGUUUUCGAUUUCGUGAUAUUCAAUGCAUACAAUACAAUGUGACUCUUGAAGCUUAAUAAUAAAAUUAUCAUUCUUGAGCCCAGCA
rnacentral:lncRNA from 1 species